rnacentral:rRNA from 1 species
UACGUAGGGUCCGAGCGUUGUCCGGAAUUAUUGGGCGUAAAGGGCUCGUAGGCGGUCCGUCACGUCGGGAGUGAAAACUCAGGGCUCAACCCUGAGCGUGCUUCCGAUACGGGCGGACUAGAGGUAUGCAGGGGAGAACGGAAUUCCUGGUGUAGCGGUGGAAUGCGCAGAUAUCAGGAAGAACACCCGUGGCUAAGGCGGUUCUCUAGUACGGUACUGACGCUGAGACGCGAAAGCGUGGGGAGCGAACAGG